rnacentral:rRNA from 1 species
CCUUUGUACACACCGCCCGUCGCUACUACCGAUUGAAUGGCUUAGUGAGACCUUUGGAUCGUUAGUUUAGAACUGUAAAAGGUUUUUUUCCGAUGAGAAGUUGGUCAAACUUGGUCAUUUAGAGG